UCAUUUUUAUAAUCUACAGCCUUAUACAUGUUACCACAUAGGAUUGUCAUAACGCUCCUGGAAAAACAUAGAUAUUAUCGAAGGUAGUUUAUAUUAACCCCAUUUAAACCAAGAGGUUAAGUAGCUUCUUUACAAUCUUAACACUCUUCACCACUAAGUGAUAUUGUCAUUGUUUCCCUCCACUAAAGAAGGGAGCUAGCUCCCACUGUUUCUCAGUCUUUACUAUUUGCUGGGCUGGUAUAAGUGCUUUACAUAUAUUAUCUUGUCGAACGCAAUAAGAACUCUGCGAGGUGGGUAGUAAGUGAUCCUGUCUUGUAGAUAUGGGAACAGUAGUGGAUAAGUUAGACUGAUAUGCCCAAGGUCACCCAGCUAGUGAGUGACAGACAGGGAUAUGACCCAGCUCUGCAGACUCAGGAGCUUUUGUUCAGUCCAGUCUACUUUGCAGUGCUGUGAUGGCUAAGUCCUAGACAGUGAUGUCUUUGAAGGCAAAGACUGCCUAACUCCCUCUGCUUCCUCAGUGCCUAGCACAGGCCCUGGUACAGAAUAGGCCCUAUUGGGGCUGAAGGAUGGAAGAAGGGAGAGAGGGAGAGAAUAAGGGAGAAAAGAAGGAAGGAGAGGAGAGAGAAUGAGAUGGAGGCCCAAAGAGAAGAAAAAAGAGGGAGUAAAAGAAAAGGAAGAAAAGAGGCAGGGAGAGAAGAGUAAGGGAAGGCAGGUGGUCUGCUUUAGCUGUUUCUACUUAUCGCCUCAGAUGAAACGAGAAAGAAGUCUGUGUUGAUGUUGUCACCAUUUAUUGUUAUUUUACUAAUGUACUACCUAUAACAUUGUGUUCUCCACCUCCACCACUUUUUUUUAAGUGCUUGGAAUAGUCAGGUCCUGGUAGGAAGAGAUGGAUUUAGGGUCUGCUUAAAAAGGCAUAGGUGCAUUCUGGCCUUGGCUGGGGCUCUUACCACCUCUAGGGCAGAAGGUAGACGUGGAGCAGUGACUCCUGGAAUCACGGAGGGUGCUGUGGUUGUGGAUGGUGGGAGCUGCAGCCCCAGUGGAGGAACAUAGCUACUGACUAGCUGUUGCAAAAGGCAGCCAGGGGACUAAUUUACUUACCCAAACACCUCCUCUCUGAUUUUGAAUCCCCUAUUUGUGCCCUUCAGUGGUCAAACCCAACAGCAAGCUGGAAGACAAGGGUAUCCUUGAUCCAGAAACGUCAGUCUCCCAGGGAAAGGUGCCUUAUGGACUUGGAGGGGCAACAAGACUCUGGCGCUAAGUGAGGAGACAGACACUGGGGAAGAUAUUUAACGUGAACAGCAGGGGGCACCAAACAGGAGUGGCACUGACCAAUCAGAGCAGUGCCAGCCAUAAUAACCCACAGUUCUUGUACCUUUGUAAGACUUAGGGCUGUGUGGGGUGGCUCACACCUGUAAUCCCAACACUUUGGGAGGCCGAGGCGGGUAGAUCACGAGGUCAGGCGUUUGAGACCAGCCUGACCAACAUGGUGAAACCCCAUCUCUACUAAAAAUACAAAAAUUAGCAGGGUGUGGUGGUGCGCCCCUGUAACCCCAGCUACUCGGGAGGCUGAGGCAGGAGAACUGCUUGAAAUUGGGAGGCAAAGGUUGCAGUGAGCCAAGAUCACACCACUGCACUCCAGCCUGGGCGACAGAGCAAGACUCCGUCUCGAAAAAAAAAAAGCAAAACAAAAAAAAAAA
rnacentral:lncRNA from 1 species